rfam:Yokenella regensburgei ATCC 43003 genomic scaffold Scfld157, whole genome shotgun sequence.
GCGCUGAAAAACAUAACCCAUAAAUGCUAGUUGUACCAGGAACCACCUCCUUGGCCCGUGUAAUCUCCCUUACGCGGGCUUAUUU